CACACACUCAGCGAGCAGCUGCGGUGUGAACGCCUGCAGGAUCUCAGUGCGCCGCUGCCUCUGUCGCAGCGGGCACAGCCCACCCCACAGGAGAUCCCACAGAGCUCAGAAGCGGCCGAGUCCAGGACUCAGGCGAGAUUUGGAGAGAUUUUAUUCUACAGCUGAUGUGGGGGCAAAGAGGGCAGCAAGCCAGUAGGCAGGUGCUCAGGUUAAAGAUGGAUGGACAAGGUACCAGUGCUUAAUUCACACCUGACGGAUCCUUCAAAUGCUCCAGUCUAAGGAGUAGAGGCAGAAUCUUUGUGGUUUUCCAAGUCUAGGCUCUAGGCCUCGAGAAAUUACCUACCGCAGAGGGAAGGCAGCUGUCGAAAGUAUGAGACCCAAAUAAAGAAGCAAUUGUAUUUAAUUUGGAUACCAGGAAGUUGUUUCUUCAAGACAGAAGUAAUUUUUAAUAUCAGAGACCCAGUUGCGGUGGACACAAAAAUCACGACUGCCUGCCAAACAAUGAGUAAUCGCGGUGAGAAUUUGAAUUAACAUAAAUAUGAAGUUGUGGUUUGAACUGUUCAAGAUGAGCCACACACUGUCUGAAGGUGACACAGAGUUGAAACUGGGUGCGCCUUCUUACUUAAAAUAAAACAUUCCUUUCCAGCCAGCGCAACCUGUGCUGCUUGUCAGGCCCAGCAGUGUACGCAAAUGGCCAUAUCCUCCAGAUAUUUAAACGUGUGUGUAAUUAACUUACGCACAGAACUUCUUUGGCUGCAAGAGCAAUUGCAGUAAACAGCAUGGUUCACACCAGUACUUCCAGCACUAGUCCCAAGUCCUGCUAAAUUGUUAUGUUGAUUUCCUUACUAUAAUUGAAGUUUCUCUUUGCAUGUUUCUCCUAGCUCAGUUUUGAAGGUUUUGCUUGAUACUGAAAGCCUUUGAAUAGCAGAAGUUUUAUUUGAGUUAAAUAAAAAGGUGGAAGAGGUCUUCCAGAGCCUGGUCUGUUUAUGCCAGGAAUGAGUAUUUUACAGUUCUGAGUGCCUGGCCCCACAGAUUUUAUAUAAAGCCUUAGAACUAAUUAUUGUAUUACAUUCUAAAUACAUAUAUUCUAUACAACAGUGCAUCUCAUCACACUGCUUACUAAGCAAAAUGAAAAUUAAUGUUGCAUCAGAGACAUUCACCUCUUGACAAACCAAGUUUCAGAUGAUUCCUAGUUUCAGAUGAAGCCUACUUCCAGUUUUAGGUUUUAUGGCUUCAUAUAUAAUGAGUGGCUGUGGCAUGACGGGGCGGGGAUGAAUCAUCACAACGUUGUUUCUGUCCCGGCAGACAAGUGGAAAGAGGACAAAUGGGGAAAUAAAUAUUCCUGGGUCAAUGCUAAUGUUGAUGGUUGCCUGGUUGCCUUCUAAUAACUAUAAAGAACCACAUGAGCUUAACCUCGUGGAAGCGCAGGUGUAGCAGGUUAGUAGAAAGCUAAACCACAGUCAGGGGAAGCCCUGCAGAAGAAACCCCAAAAGCUAAGGAGGGGAAGGAGAGAGAAAGAGUUAAUUAGGGAAGUGCUGAUUCAUGAGGUGGUUACCAUACCUAUCAUCAUUUUUAGCCUGGUGCUUCAUUUACGGAAUGGCUUUAUUUCUGUUUAUAGCCUUUUCCCCUGACAGGGAGGAAUAAUAUGUACUGUCUGUCUUUCUGAAUCAUCAGCUCGGUGUAUGUGAUUAGUAUCUAGCCUUGCAGAUGGAACCAAAGCUUUGAGAAAGGGAAGAGAAAAGAAAAUAAGCAUCUUCAUUAAACUGAUCGGAAUCUACAGAAUUAUUAAGCUAGCUGUCCUGCUGCUCUGCCUCCGUGUCACACAACGGACUGCUGUACAGACAACCAAAUGGAGGACGGGAUGCUUUGUGCUGUACCAACAGAUGCCUGGAGAGCUAUGGAAAGGGGAAGAAACACCAAGGGCAGAACUUGGAUGGACGUGCAGGCUAUCCAUGGUUGAGUCACAGGCUGCUGCCAGUAAUAGUGAAGGAAUGUGGAACUCUGCACAGAGGACAUCGAGGCAGGAGGCUGACGGUCCAAGAACACUCGCACUGCCCAGGAGCUGAGGUACAGAAGGCAACUCACUGGAAAGGGACGGGAUGCAGCGAGGAGGGACAAGGAAAGAGCUCCGGGGGAUAAAAAGAUGGAUUCGUACUCAUUUCGUCGAGGUAGGAGCGCUCCUGCCCUGCCGGGAGAGCAGCGACCGCACCGCCGAACCGCCACGGCACC